AUUUAUAUAGUUUAAAAAACACUUUAUUUUCAAUAAAGAGAAGAAAGCUAUUUCUAUAAAUG
rnacentral:tRNA from 2 species